GUUUUGUGUCUCUUUGUGUUCCUGUAUAGUUAUUGUGCGUGUCUUUGUGAUCAUUUUGUGUGCCUUCAUAGUCCAUGAACUUUCCCAGUGGAGAAGUCACUGUGCAGCUCGUUGCACCACAUGAAGACGAGCGUUGAGAAGCAGAAAUAUGACUAAACCGAGACUUUCCUUCUCCUCCGAGCCGUGUUUUAGUUCAGGCUGUUUUCAGUCACACCAAGAACUCAACACCUGAAGUUUUAAAGGAUUGGCUGCGUUCGCUGGAGCAGACGAAGCAUCGAGACGAAGCUCUUCCUGAGUCUGGAGGCAGGUUUCCAUGGAGACGACGACGGCUGCACUUCAAUUAAAGUUUAAUUCCUCCAGCUGUCAGCUUUGAUCAGUCGGCUGGAAAAUGUGAAUCAGCGAACAUCACAGUGAGCUGCAGCAGAUCGGUGGAGGAAGCAGCAGGUGAAGCAAAUAUCAACAGUUUGAUGCUUUAAAUUCAUUUCUGUGUGUCGUCGUUAUCGUAAAGUUCACAAAGAGGCUGUUUGUGGUUUUAUGUCACGCACGAGGCCGAGUCGUCACAAAAAUCAUAAACUUCACUCCUUUUGACUCAAAAAUCUCAAAAUAAAUCUAAGGUCCUUGAUGCUAAAUGCUGUCAGUCUGUUUCACGAGCAGCAUGCAGACGAUUCAGACUGAAAACAAUCGAACACAAAAACCACGACAGACGUCCGUCACGGCUUCUAACCAACUCAAUAAAACAUUACAUCAACACGA